UUCAUCCUGGACACCCAGCCAUGAAAUAACCACUCAGAAAACCAUAUUAUUUGCAAUACUGUUUGACCAAUAGCUUAAGUGUAUUUCUGGCUAAGCUCACAUCUUAACCUAACCCAUCUCUAUUUUUCUGUAUAUCACCACGUGGCUAUGGCUUACCAGCUAGAGUUCUCAGCAUCUGUCACAGGCAGUGGCUGCAUGGCUUCUCCUAACUCUGCCUUCCUCCUCCCAUGCUGUAGGCCAAUCCAGUUUUCUUUAUUCAUUAACCAAUAAAAUCAACACAUAGACAGAAGGACCUCCCACACCACAUCUAUCAUUCAUUGCCUAUCUGCCUGUCAGCCAUCUCUCUUCUAUAUUUAGCAAAUAUGAUAAUUGUUAACCCCUACUGCUCCAACAGCUUGUUUCCCACAAAAGAGCAAGCGCUGUGGAGUUAAUUUCACAUUGGUUACUGCUCACCAUUUAUUUUAUUGCUUACUAUGUUUUCUAAAUAAAGAUUUUGACUCUUCUUUUUCAUUUUUGUUUUUCUGAAGCAAGGGCACACCAUGUAGCCCAGGCUAGCCUUACACUCCUGAUCCGCCUGCCUCUCACUGUGAAUGUAAGCCCAUGGCACCCAGUCUUUAUUUUUUUAAGGAUGUGUAAAUGUGUAUAAAAUUUUGAACUUUCAUGAAGCGCGUGAACCGAGUAACUGCACCCUAGUCGAGGGACAAUCUCACUGCAGUCACAGUGCUGACCCGUGUCCCGUCUCACAGUGCUGACCCGUGUCCCCGUCUCACAGUGCUGACCUGUGUCCCCGUCUCACAGUGCUGACCUGUGUCCCGUCUCACUGCAGUCACAGCGCUGACCUGUGUCUCCGUCUCACAGUGCUGAACUGUUGUCUCCAUCUCUGAAGGCUAAUGCAGGAGAAUCAAGAGCUCAAAAGUAUCUUUGGUAAUAAACCUAUGCCACAAGCUUUCAAUGGAUGGUGAGGGGUCUCCUGCUGCCGUCUGCCUUUUUGAUGCUAUCUGCAGCAAUGCCGUCAACCAAGCCAUGAAUGUUGAGAUCUACGGUGCCUUUUCAUCCAUCCUCAAACAUUGCCGUAUCAAGAUGUGAUGUCCUUAACCUCAGCUAGACCUUCUCUCCGACGAAGACGGUGCACAGCUACUUGCCUGAAUGGGACAGGCUUCUGGCUCCUUGCUCGGGUACCAGCAAGUACCUCUUCUCACUUCUGAGACUCUAGGUACUGCUGGGGCUAUUCCCUGAAACAGACAGGAACGAGGCCUUCUGAGCUCCUUGUUGUUCAGGGGCACCUGUAGUUUGUGGUCUCCGGGGAGAGUUUAGGAGUCUGCUCUGGUCCCCUGGAAGAGAUAAGGCUGGAGCAGGGAAAUAGAUGCACAGGCAGAAUGACAAACAUAUUCAGGGUGUUAGCUUUUUUUUUUUUUAAUUAUUAUUCUUUAAUUUAGUGUAGUAUACACUCUUGACCACUGAGCCAGUUCUCCAGCCUAAGAAUAUUUAUAGUCAGGAUGAGUCUUGGUUGAUUCAGCUACUUAGGAAGCUGAGGUAGAAGGAUCACAAAUUCAAGGCCAAACUUGGCUAGCCACGCAGAGUGGUACACACUUAAACCCAGAACUAAGGAGGAUGAUGUAAGCGUUGUGGCAUCUGUGGUCAUAAAUCAAGUUCCUGGCCAGCCUGGGCUACAUGGGACCCUGUCUGGUUUGUUGUUGCUUAUUUUGUAUUUUGUGUUUUGUCUUUGUACUGGGGAUGGAACCCAGGGCCUUGUACACACUAGGCAAGUUCUUUACCAUGAGCUAUAUCCCUAGUCUGAGACCCUGUCUCAAAACAGAAAUCAAACAACCAAAAUGGCUAGCUUGCAGGAUGCUGAGAUUGCUCAGUAGGUGAGGGUGUUUGUUGCCAAGUUUGGCUUCCUGAGUUCGAUCCCUGGGACCCACAUGAUAGAUAGAAGGAGAGAAUCAACUUUUGAAAGUUGUCUUCUGACCUUUGUGUGUGAGCCAUGGUAUGUGUGUAUCCCUUUUCCACAUUAAUAAAUGCAAUAAA